CGAGCUGCUACACACAAGACGCCAAGGACGCGCGCUCCUUCACUUACCGUAUAGUCUACGUUUUUAAACCCAAAACAGGAUUAAAUUCGAUGAGAUUAGAACAAACGUUAUUGAUCCCACACAGGAAAUGAACACGUCGCCACAAAAAAACAAAACAAAACAGCGAAUGUUGCUAGAAGAAAAAAACUCUGAUCGAGUAAAACCAACAUUGAUAAAUAUAUAUUAAAAUAACAUUUGAAAAAAUUCAAAUUCUUCUUGUCAACAUCUGUCUUAAAACGUUUUGACUCUCCCAUGUCCUUCGUCAAAGUUUUCCAAACUUUCUAAACGUUUAGUCAUUACCUGCUGUAAUGACUAAAGCUUAUCAUUAGCUUAUCUUGUAUUUUAUGGCUGAUUCGCGGCUAAUUCCGAGCCCACUCUUAGCUUGUGCCGUACGAAUGCAGUUCAUGAGAAAUGGUGAAAUGUCUUUUACAGAUUUAUUUAGAGUUAUAUGUAAUGCACAUUAAGAAAAAUCAUUUUAGGAAUAUUCUUAAUCAUCGCUAAUGAAACAGAUGAUCCUCUUGUAUUUAGCCUUCCUUCUUAAAUGUGACUUAUCGUUUCUCCAUACUGAUAAUUAAACCCAAUUCUUUGUCUGAUGUUUGACAUUCUCUCAGUCCCUAAGGUUCUCAUCUAAACUGACGUUCCUACUUUUGUGGUAAGUAUAUUUAUACCUGCAUUCCACGCUGCUUUAUCUUUACUUUUAACCGUUUUUUGAAUAAAUACUUUUCAUUAGUUGAGUUUAGUUUUAUUGUGAGUUAUCCGGCCUCUUUUCUUUUCUUUUUCUUCUUCCGUCACUAUCUGUGUUUAUUCUAAAUUUACUUGCAGCACUUUCCUCCGUUCCGACUCCGGCUGAUCAUCCAUUACUAACCGUCACUACAUCCCAGCUGACUUCGGUCCACGGUCUCCAUGUCCCAGGAGCAGGCUUACUUACAUCUUCUUCUCUGCUGAAGCCAGCCCUCCAAGCCAUGCAGAAUUAUACUGAGGACAACUGAAAAGAAAAAACGACACGUCUCGGAAGUCCCAUCUUUGACGGACAAAGCUGCUAAAAUAAGGUGUGGACCUGGGGUCAAAUCCCAGAAGGAACGUGCAUAAACGGCCUGUCAAGAAAUGAAAAAUCACUUUCAGCCUGUCCCUAUCGUCAGAGGUUACCACUGUGGUAAGUGGAUUUGAUUUUUGAUUUUCACAACAGAUGCCUUUUCCUGACGUAGCCCAACCUUGGAAUAAGGGAUCAGGUUGUAUUGAACCCAGAACCUUCUGCUGUUGGCCAAUCACCUUUGUCUUUCAAAGAAUAGUCACAUUAAAAAUAAUUUGCAUAAACUCAUAUUAAUCAAAUUAACUUGGCAACAGCAAUUUAAAAAAAACGCUGUGAACCAGGCCGGACAUUUUUAGGCUCCUGACACUUAAAUGAACUUCUCUUGGUUCAGUGUUGUUUUUUGUGAUUUGUGUAAUUUAUGUGUGAGGACAAGUCACUAAAAUGUAAAAAAAUAAAUUAAAAAAAAUCUAAUUUUAAUCGCCCCCCAGUCCCCGC